rnacentral:rRNA from 2 species
GAGUUUGAUCAUGGCUCAGGACGAACGCUGGCGGCGUGCCUAAUACAUGCAAGUCGAGCGGACAGAUGGGAGCUUGCUCCCUGAUGUUAGCGGCGGACGGGUGAGUAACACGUGGGUAACCUGCCUGUAAGACUGGGAUAACUCCGGGAAACCGGGGCUAAUACCGGAUGGUUGUUUGAACCGCAUGGUUCAAACAUAAAAGGUGGCUUCGGCUACCACUUACAGAUGGACCCGCGGCGCAUUAGCUAGUUGGUGAGGUAACGGCUCACCAAGGCAACGAUGCGUAGCCGACCUGAGAGGGUGAUCGGCCACACUGGGACUGAGACACGGCCCAGACUCCUACGGGAGGCAGCAGUAGGGAAUCUUCCGCAAUGGACGAAAGUCUGACGGAGCAACGCCGCGUGAGUGAUGAAGGUUUUCUGAUCGUAAAGCUCUGUGCUAGGGAAGAGACAAUACCGACGAAUAGAGCGGAUACUGAUCA